AUAAAUGACUUCAGUUGCUUAUUUUGCUUAGCGAGGUUUUACUCAAGUGGUUUAGCGAGACAAACAGACUCAUUAUGUCGCGCUCUGUGCUGCCGCUGCUCUUCUUCGUGGUUUGCAGAACACAGGCUUUUGACUUCUUGAGCAAUCAGCAUCCUGGAUUUUAUGGCACAGCUACAUACUACACAAAAUACGCUGAUAAUGGAUCUGUUAUGCUGACUGUUCGUUAUACACUGAAUAACCGCUACUGCUACAAUGCUUCCUUGUAUAACUGCCAAAAUAACAGCUGUGAAAAUGUGCUAAACAAAAUCAGUGAAAUCAGUGGAGAGUGGUGCCAGAUGGAGGAAAUCUAUUAUGGUGAGGUUCCUGACAAU